GCCUUCGUGGUAUAACGAUAACACACUUGGUUCAUAUUCGAGAGGUCCAGGUUCAAGUCCCGGCGACGGCA
rnacentral:tRNA from 1 species